UACGGGGGGUGCGAGCGUUGUCCGGAAUCACUGGGCGUAAAGGGCGCGUAGGUGGCUAUGCAAGUCGGAUGUGAAAUCCCCGGGCUCAACCUGGGAACUGCAUUCGAGACUGCAUUGCUCGAGUAUGGGAGAGGGAAGUGGAAUUUCCGGUGUAGCGGUGAAAUGCGUAGAUAUCGGAAGGAACAUCAGUGGCGAAAGCGACUUCCUGGACCAAUACUGACACUCAAGUGCGAAAGCGUGGGGAGCAAACAGG
rnacentral:rRNA from 1 species